AGUGAACGCUGGCGGUAGGCCUAACACAUGCAAGUCGAACGGCAGCACAGUAGAGGCUGCCCCUACGGGUGGGCAGUGGCCGAACGGGUGAGAAAAAAACCGGAUUCUCCUUUUUCUGGGGGAUUAAGUAAGGAAAACUACGCCUAAUACCCAUGAGACCCACGGGUUAAAAGCGGGGAAUCUUGGAACCUUCCGCGUUUGAUGAGGCGGAGGUCGGAUUUGCUAGUUGGCGGGGUAAAGGCCCACAAAGGCGACGAUCCGUAGCUGGUCUGAGAGAAUGAUCAGCCACACUGGAACUGAGACACGGUCCAGACUCCUACGGUAGGCAGCAGUGGGGAAUAUUGGACAAUGGGCGCAAGCCUGAUCCAGCCAUACCGCGUGGGUGAAGAAGGCCUUCGGGUUGUAAAGCCCUUUUGUUGGGAAAGAAAAGCAGCAGGUUAAUACCCCGCUGUUCUGACGGUACCCAAAGAAUAAGCACCGGCUAACUUCGUG
rnacentral:rRNA from 1 species